rnacentral:rRNA from 1 species
UACGUAGGGUGCAAGCGUUGUCCGGAAUUAUUGGGCGUAAAGAGCUCGUAGGCGGUCUGUCGCGUCGGCUGUGAAAACCCGGGGCUCAACCCCGGGCCUGCAGUUGAUACGGGCAGACUAGAGUGCGGUAGGGGAGACUGGAAUUCCUGGUGUAGCGGUGAAAUGCGCAGAUAUCAGGAGGAACACCGGUGGCGAAGGCGGGUCUCUGGGCCGUAACUGACGCUGAGGAGCGAAAGCGUGGGGAGCGAACAGG